rnacentral:misc_RNA from 1 species
GAAGAUGAAUCAUAAGGGGCUGACAAUUGAUAACUGUUGUAGAAGCAAAAGUUGGUGGAGAUGGCGAAGGCUUGAGCUGAAGAGAAUGAAGAGAGAUCAAGGGGACCCCAGCACUGAAGUUCCCCUGCUGGUUCCCUAGAGGAUAAAUGGGAGGACAAAAAUCUUUACCAAAGUCUGGAAUGUUCAAAACAUCAUCAGAAUCCGUCAACUCAGAUGGCUGCACCAAGGUGCAUGGAGGGCGUGAAAAUGUAUCCCUUAAAAAGGCUCCUCCUAUCAUAAGACGAGUUAAGCAUUUGGCACUUUCUCCACCUGCAAUACUUUCCCGAGAAAAGAAUAAAGACUGCAUCAAAAGUUCAAGCUGAAAUUCUGUGUCCUUCAAACGUAGAAAAAUGUGGUCCACAACAACGGAGACCAAAGACCGCCCAGCUGCUUCUGUAUGUUGCUGAUUUGGCUUGACAUCUCCUCUGUUUAUACAGACAUACAAUCCUGUCAUGAAGCGAAGAAGAGCUCGUAAUCCUGGUUCACUUAGAGCUGGACAAACAGUUUCUGUAAUGUGCAAUUGAACUUCAAGUCCUAGUGGACUAUUUAGUCCAGUCCUCUGAAUCGUUAUAUUAGCUUCUCCAGAUAUUCCUUCAAUGAAUCUCUCCCCGCCAAAAAACACUCGCUUUGCUCCAUCUUCAUCUCUCUUGUUAUUCCCCCCUUGAGAGCUUCCAAAAUUUGCAUCCGCGAACAUAUCAGGAUGAGGUAACAGGUCAAUAGAUAGAUGUCCCCACUCAAGUUUUUUGAACACAUAUAUGAACUCCUUGCCAGUAGAGAAAUCCCUAGCUUCCUUUAGAUUUACAACCUCCCAGUUCUCAUUUGUAGUAUACAGAAGAAGAUUGUGUAUAGUAAUUGAUGCCAUAGGUGAUGCCCAGCUUGCUCCUCCUCGGCGUCGAGCACCUCCGUGAGUUUCAAGUAGAAGAUUAACUGUAUGGACUUGUAAUGUCAUGCCAUCUGCAAUCUUGUCAGCAAAU